AGUGCCGGAAAAGUGCGCCAAAUCAAAAUUAUUGAAAUUCCCUCUCUCCAAUUCCCUUUUUAUUUUUUUUUUAGCGGGAUUUUUUUUUUUAUGUGCGACCGAAAUAAGAACGAAACUCAUGGUUCUCCCCUUCCCUCUCUGGCCUUCGCCUCCCUCUUUGGCUCUCCGUCUCUCUCUCUCAUAAAUGUUAACCUCACCAUCAAAGUAACAUACAAAAUUUAAUUUUGUUGAUCCAGUCCUCACAAAUAAGUCAUUUGCUUUCAUCAUUUUCUGAGCAAUCAUAUCCAAAAAUGAAACAACCGAAAUUCGAGUAGGUAAUCUAAUAGUUUUGGGUUGGGGCUUUUAAUUCUUCUCUCCAGAUUUGUUUCUUUUUGUCUCUGAAGCAAUUUUUUGUUUAAUCUCAGCUAAGGUCCAGAUGGCCGAAGAGCUAAUUUCAUCUCAAGAUUGUCUUUUUCCUCCUGUUUGGCUUUCAUCAUUGGUUUCUCAGGUGAGCUAGCUUUUGACAUUACUUUACCUUGUUCUUUGUUUAUUAUAAAUUUAUUCACGCUUUUUACAUUAUAAUUUAAGGUCUUCGUUUAUUUUAAUUAAAUUCAUGUUAUAUGAAUAGUAAAAUUGGCUUGCUUGCAAAAUUGUCUUCGAUAUUGACAGUAUUACGAUAUUUUUUUGUUGCAAUUUUUGAUAUAUUUCUUAUUGUGAUCAUCUGAUUGGUCUCCAAUGUACGAGCAUGAAGAUUUAAUGAAUGUUAAAAUUUAAGUAACAAUUAAAAUUUGUACACCAAGUGUUUGUUAUAAUGCCUUGUGUUAUUUUCAACAGAUUGUUUUUAGUAUGAGUAUAAAAGUGACAAUUAUUUUUUUUUGCAGGACACAAUUUUUUAUAAACAAUAAAACAAAUGAUUAAGAGCGUUUUGAUACAAUUUUCAAAUUAGAGCGUAUGAUAAUUUAUAAAAGUAAUUGAUUUCCCAAAGAGUAAAAGUAUGAUACUUCAUCUCAGAGCAACUUAUGUUGUUAGCUAAUUUUAUGAGCCAGUUUAACAAUUUACUACACAAAUAAAAAAGUCUUUAAGUGUUUAUAAAUGUAUAUGUUGUAAUUUCAUCUCAAAGCAACAAUGCACAUAAAGUGUUAACGAAAUAUAAUAAAAAAGUUGUUAAGUAUUACAUAGUAAUAAUUCUCAUGAAGAAAUUAGAAUAUGUUAAUUGGCCUAAAUACUAUUUAAUAUUUACUUUUUUAAAACCUAUGGCAUUAGAUUCGCUUGCUAAGAUAUCGGAGUAGUAUUGAUGCAAUUUUCUGUCAUGACUGCAGAUUCAACUUGCUAAGAUUUGGGUUAUGCCUUCAGGAUCAAGUAUUGUUGCUGAUUAUGUGAGCUGAUGAGAUUUUGGUAUCAAGCAUGAGUUUAGAUUCAAUUUGAUCAAAUGUAUUUUUUCCUUUUAAAGUGAUGUAAUUCGUGCAGGGAGAGGAUGCAGUCUAGAAUGAUUUAAGGUUCCGAAAAAAGAAAUUUUGUUUAUAUUAACUUGGGUCAAUAAGUAUGUAAAUUUUUAUGAUAUUAGCAAUAUUUAAUAACAUAAUAAUUGAAAUAUUUUAAAUUGCAUUGUAGUUUUAAAAAUAUUU
rnacentral:lncRNA from 1 species